rnacentral:rRNA from 1 species
GAUGAACGCUGGCGGCGUGCCUAAUACAUGCAAGUCGAGCGAACGGACGAGAAGCUUGCUUCUCUGAUGUUAGCGGCGGACGGGUGAGUAACACGUGGAUAACCUACCUAUAAGACUGGGAUAACUUCGGGAAACCGGAGCUAAUACCGGAUAAUAUUUUGAACCGCAUGGUUCAAAAGUGAAAGACGGUCUUGCUGUCACUUAUAGAUGGAUCCGCGCUGCAUUAGCUAGUUGGUAAGGUGACGGCUUACCAAGGCAACGAUGCAUAGCCGACCUGAGAGGGUGAUCGGCCACACUGGAACUGAGACACGGUCCAGACUCCUACGGGAGGCAGCAGUAGGGAAUCUUCCGCAAUGGGCGAAAGCCUGACGGAGCAACGCCGUGUGAGUGAUGAAGGUCUUCGGAUCGUAAAACUCUGUUAUUAGGGAAGAACAUAUGUGUAAGUAACUGUGCACAUCUUGACGGUACCUAAUCAGAAAGCCACGGCUAACUACGUG